rnacentral:tRNA from 1 species
CGUCCCCAUAGUUCAAUGGAUAGAAUAAGCCCCUCCUAAGGGCUAGAUACUGGUUCGAAUCCAGUUGGGGACGCCA